CCUCGCACCGUGCAGCCGGUAAACUCUGCACACGGACCGGCCUGUUCCUCCGGAGCUCUGCAGCCUCUCUCUGCUCCUCCACCUCCUCCUUCUCCUCCUUCUUCUCCUCCUUCUCCUCCUGCAUGUGUGUUAGUGCGAGCUGUUAAUCUCACACACACACACACACACACACACACACACACACGCACCUUCUGGAUUGGAGGCGCGUGCACGGAUGUAUUUGUUUGGUUUCUCUGGAUUAAGACUCAGAACUACAGUGGAACUAACAACCUGCAGGACUACAGGAACAGACUGGAUUUACUGCUGAGCUUCCUGUUGGAGUCGGAGACUUCGACUGAGCAGCUUCUCCUCACUGGGAUUUACAUCUGACAAUCUGAUGAAAGGAUGCUGCAGGAACCCGACAAAGGACUGAGCCCGACCUGAACCCUCCCCCCCCC